UACGUGAGGGGCGAACGUUGUUCGGUGUCACUGGGCUUAAAGGGUGCGUAGGUGGUUCUAUAAGUAAGGUGUGAAAUCCCUCGGCUUACCCGGGGAAUUGCAUUUUAUACUGUAGGACUUGAGGGCUAAAGGGGAAAAGGGAACUCCAGGUGUAGCGGUGAAAUGCGCAGAUAUCUGGGGGAAGGCCGGCGGCGAAGGCGCUUUUCUGGUUAGUACCUGACACUGAGGCACGAAAGCGUGGGGAGCAAACAGG
rnacentral:rRNA from 1 species